UACGUAGGGGGCAAGCGUUGUCCGGAAUCAUUGGGCGUAAAGAGCGUGUAGGCGGCUCGGUAAGUCCGCUGUGAAAGUCCGGGGCUCAACCCUGGAAUGCCGGUGGAAACUGUCGAGCUCGAGUCCGGAAGAGGCGAGUGGAAUUCCUGGUGUAGCGGUGAAAUGCGCAGAUAUCAGGAGGAACACCAAUGGCGAAGGCAGCUCGCUGGGACGGUACUGACGCUGAGACGCGAAAGCGUGGGGAGCAAACAGG
rnacentral:rRNA from 1 species